GCAGGUGCAAAGAGUUCUUUAUUCCACUAUACAAACAAUACCAAUACUUGGAGGAAAUGUACGAAAGAUGAAUAUUGAGCAGGUAAGCAUUGAGCUUCCAAUACAGAAAAUUAAAGGGAUCAAACAGCCCAAAAUUGACAAUGAAAGUGGAACGGUCUCUUCACGCAAUUGUUAUUCAUAAUGUUUACUUAUCUCUACGUUUAACAACUUUGUAUUUGUGACAUGUGAACAAGAACAUUAAAGGUAGAAAUUUACAGCCAUUUUGGCAUUGUCAAUCAUAAUUACAAGCUCUGUCCUUUGCACCUGGCAGUCAGCAUAGAGAAAAAAUACAGAGGAUAAAAUAAAUAAUGUUUAUAUAGAAUCAACUUAUUAGGCAGUGAUUUGAAAUUAUACAGAGGGCAUAUACCAGUAUUGACAUACAAAGUAAUAUUGACAGAAAUAAGAUGUGAACAGGGACCUGUUUAACCACACUUACAAACUAGGUAGGAGAUACAUUAACUGCAAUCUAAAAGGACAGUAGAGGUCUCAUUAACUGAAUAGAAUCUCAAUAUAACAUUGUUGUUAUCUUUUAUUACUAACAGAUAUGUAAAAUGAGUUUUAUCCAGAUAUACUAAUGAGCAUAGACAAUUGUUGUUUUUUCCAUAAUUGACCACAAGGGGGAGGCAAUUCCAUUUCCAAUAAUGAACACUCAGCAGCAGCAUAUGAGAGAGGCAGAGAAAAGAAGCCUUGACAACAAUACUUAAAGGAACACUAUAGUCACCUAAAUUACUUUAGCUAAAUAAAGCAGUUUUAGUGUAUAGAUCAUUCCCCUGCAAUUUCACUGCUCAAUUCACUGUCAUUUAGGAGUUAAAUCACUUUGUUUCUGUUUAUGCAGCCCUAGCCACACCUCCCCUGGCUAUGAUUGACAGAGCCUGCAUGAAAAAAAAAAGGCAGGAGAGGUGGUGACAGUGGGUACUAAUAUGGUUGAAUACAGUUUUGUAUUACUAGCACUUUAGUUUUCCAUUAAUAUUAAGGACAGGGAAAUAUUUAAUGCAGUCAUCAAACUCUGAUCUCUAAUAAGCAUUUGCUGAAACAGUAUUUCCUGCUUAUUUAGCAUUUGCAGAUUCAUACAGUCCUGACGUGUUUAAAUCAGGGGGUCCAUAUUAAUGUAGGAUCUUUAAAGGUUUGCUUUUUAUGACAUCUUUAUUUUAUCACUGGUCAUUAAAGUUAAAGGGAGCACAUCAUUUCCUUUUAGCCUAAAGAGAACUCUCACUGGAACUAAAAUACCAACCCACACCAGGAGAAACAGCCCAGAUCAAUAACACUCCUUCAUCAAACUCAUCAAAAUUUACAGACACUGUGCAUUACAGUCGGUAGAAUUCUCCUGGCACCCAUCACACCCAGAUUCAGUCUGCCAGAUAUUGAAUCAUGAUUCCGGAGUCCAAUGAAUUUACACCACUCCAGGCAACACUUGGCAUUGUGCAUGUUGAUGUGAAGCUUGUGUACAGCUGCUCAGCCAUUGAAAUCCAAUUCAUGAAUCUCCCAAUGCACAAGUCUUGUGCUAUGUGGCUUCCAGAGGUAGUUUGGAAUUAUGCUGAAGUGUGAAAAUAAUAGACCUCCACAGAUCCUUCUGUUCACCAGCCAUAGCAACCACCGCAAAUUCACAGUGGUUGUUAUGGUAACUCCCUAGCCGGUGCUACUAGCGCUGGCUCGGGAGUUUAGGAAUGGAGUGACUCAUGUCCCUCUGUUCAGACAACAGAAUGCUGCUCAGACCGGGUAAAGGAGAGGUGCAACGGAGGUAGGUGCUUUAGAAGUGUAAAACCCACUUCUGUAAUGAGAUUGCAGCAAGGGAGUGGUGACAGGUUCCCUAAACUACUACUGAAAAUGCCAAAAAAAAUGUUUACAAAAAAAAAAAAAAGUGGAAAGGUGCGAUUCAGAUUACAUCAUCAUUGGUAUUGAAUCAUCACCAGCAGUUACACAUACAUAAUUAUCAACUGAGAAGUUGUGAUCAACAUCGUAGGGGACUUAAAUUAAAAUAAAGAAUCUCUAACACACAAAAGUUGAAGUUUCAUCCAAAUCAUAGGAAGAUUGCAGACUGCUCUUGAUGUUGAGCUAGAUCAAAAAAAAAAAAUAUACUGAAAAUUGUAUUUGAUAAUUCUCAGAAACAUCCCAAUCAGGGUGGACAGCAGAGAUGAAUGAAAGUAUCUGCCAUUACUGAGAAAAUAAUAAGAAUAGUGCUUAUACAUUUUCACAUGUUCAAAAUAUUCUUUAAACUAUUUUACAUUUUAAAAUAAAGACACAAUUUCUUUAGAUAUGGAUCUGCAAUUUUUUGGAAGCAUAUAAACAAUGAUACGCAAUUAACGGUUUUCUUAACCGGUUCAUUAUUUAAGAGUGAAGCCAUAUGUCAUUUCUUGGUUUGUCAUCAAAACCUGCAGAACAUACACUUUAUUCUUCAAGUAAAACAGCCAAGGUUAGAGUGUGUUUUCUGUUACUACAACAGUGUGAUCACCUCAUCCUUUUUAACCAGAAACAUUUAAAUGCCAUGUCUUAUAAAAAUACACAAACUGCUGUCCAAUGACCAUUAUCACAUAAUUAAUAUUAGUGAGGAUACAUUUUAACAGAAAUCUCAUUAUCUGGUGUCACAUGGGUGCUUCAUGUGUGUUGUAAAAGGUGCAGUGGCAGCAGUGAGCCCAUACUGCCGGUUUAUUACAUAUUGGUAUGAAACUUAACUCUUAAAGCAUCUCUGUUACCAAAAAUAAACUUCAUCUAAAUCUUCUUAUAUAUAGGUCCUGCUGUCUGAAUCUCUUUACAUUUUAUUUUAUAAAACGCUCUAGUUUUCAUUAAAUACAAAAGAUAAAGUAGGUAUUAUUUCAACUUUGUUAUGGAAUUCAGGUUGGCAAAACUUGACAUUAGACAGUCUAUAGCUGCACUUUUUAUGUAAUCUUUCCAGUAUCGAUGGUCGGCGUCUUCACGCUCUGCACCAAGAUGCUGAAUGCUCCUCAGAGAUGAAUUGAGCAAAUGCUUUUCUUGGAGGAGAGAUUGAUUGGCACAGUGUGGCACUGGCUGCACAUGCGAAACAGUAGUUUAUUGGUUCUGAUCUUUGUCCUUGAGCAGCAGACACAGUGAUACCUGUGCGGCUAAGAUCAUUGUCACUACAGUAACACCUGUGCAGCAAGUACUAAAUGGCAAGUAAUUUUCUUUAAGUUUACGGAGAGACAGGGAGAUCUAAACUUGCAGGAGACAAUCCAACAUUAGAAAUACCUGUUUGAAUUUCUAACGUGAGUGCUCUUUUAAAGCCAAAACAGCCAAACUGAAAACAGAAUUCAUUGUACUCCUAAUUUGCCCUUUUAUUUUGAUUUCCCAGAAGAUCUCACUUUAGUGAAUAACCCUGAUAAAUAAAUACCUCUUCAUAGUGCAGCUUCAGGCUUACCCUUGCUCUUGGAGGACAGCCAACAUUAACUUGCUUUGGUCAAAACCACAGCUUAUCUGAUCAAAACCUGUGCAGGUAAUCAAAAAGCUAGGCUGUGUUUAUAAAUCGUGACAUAUGCAAGCAUAGGGCAUAUAAAAAAUGAAGCCUGGGAUGGUUUCAGAUCUCAAAUUGUGCAAGGUAUUAGCAGACAAUUGGUGCUACCGAGCCAAGACAGCAUAAAAUGGGUGCCACCAGAGAGCAAAGAUAAGCAAGGAGAUAUGUAAAUCACUAAAAGAUAAUUUGAUAAAAGUCAUAUUGGGCAACUUCAAAAUUAGAAAAAGUUGCACACUCCAAGCUGCUGAUCAAUACCAGACCAUGUGAUGAAAAAUGAAAAGAAAAGUGAUCCAGGGUGCACCCUCACUUCUAAGGAAAAGAUGAGUGCUCACCAGAAUGAUCCCAUAUGUUGUGUUUCAACCAGCUCCUUGGUGUUUAUGAGGUUUGACAAAUCCCAGGCAACUGGUUAAAAGGGUAGUCUAUGCACCAUAAUUACUACAAUAUUUGAGUGGUUUGAUCAAAAUUACGCAUCUGCAAGGUAUCUAUGGCACAGGCCACACAAAUCAUACUGCCACAUUUGCAUGAUCAAUUUUGUACAAGUUUGGAUUACAGUGAUAGGUUGAACGUCAUUAAGUGGUUACGGUGCCUUGCUCCUUUAACAAAGUACACUGAUCAGCCACAACAUUAAGACCACUGGUGAGUAAAGUGAAUAAAAUUGAUUAUAUUGUUACAAUGGCACCUGUCAAGGGGUGGAAUAUAUUAGGCAGCAAGUGAACAGUUAGUAUCUCUGGAUCAGAAUAUCUCCAAAAUGGCAAGACUCUUGGUGUGUUCCCAGUAUGUAGUGUUACUGUUUAGUACCUUUCAAAUGUGGUAUUAGAAUCAAUUGAAGAAAAAAAAAAAUGGGAUUUUAAAACUUAACCUUUACUGGUUUAUAAUAAAAUUGUUUACUUUGAGAUAUAUAUCUUCACCAUUACAUAAAAUCAACAACUAUAGUUGUUUGGAUAUGGAAUAGCAACUAGAAUGGGUGAAGUCUUGUAUUAACCCUUUACUUUCAAGCACAUCUGAUAGUGUUAACCCUUCUGUUGCGGUUUAGUUAAUAAAAUGUAGAAAUAAAUUUGCAGCCAAGGAUUACUGUAUUGAAAGGAGUAAAGUUAACCCUUAGUUAGCUGUCUCUUAAAAUGUAAUCAAUUUAUAAGUAGG